CUCCGGCCAGGGGAGAAGGGCCAUGGAGCCAUCCCCCAUGGCUCAGGAUGGACAAGCUGGGGACAUAUCCCCUCCCCUAACUCUCAGCUGGAAGUAGGACGUGGGAAUCCAGAGCUCCUGAUUCUGGGACUUGUCCCUCUGCUUCUGAGAGUCAGGUCUGUCUCUAGGGGCCUGUCACGGAGGGUGGGGGAGUCCGGUCCUGCACCCUUGGGACUCACAGUGACUCUCUGCCAGCCAGUAAAACAGAAGGUUUAUUGGACAGCAGGAAUGCAGGUUACAGCAGAGUUUGUAGGCACAACCAGAGCCCUCAGUCAAGUCCUUCUGGGGGUUCAGGGUGUUUGGAUCCCAGCUUAGGAUUCCCUGAAUUCCAACCACCCAGCCCCAAACCCAAAUUGAAACUAACUCCCCUCCAGCCGGCCCCUCCCUUUGUCCCUCCUUUGUCUGGCUUCCCAGACAAAAGGUGCUGACACCCCUCCCCCCUACCUGGCUCAGGUUACAGGCCCAGGUCCUGUCCCUCACCUAAAGUCCUCCCUGGCUCUCCCAUCCCCCACACAGACAGCCCCUACUCCAUCACAGGGCCAUGCCAGGCUCUGGGCGGGGGGAGGCGCUAGCCAGGUCUGUGUCCGGGGGCCAUGCCAGGCUCUGGGCGGGGGGAGGCGCUAGCCAGGUCUGUGUCUGGGGCCGUGCCAGGCUCUGGGCGGGGGGAGGCGCUAGUCAGGUCUGUGUCUGGGGCCGUGCCAGGCUCUGGGCGGGGGGAGGCACUAGCCAGGUCUGUGUCUGGGGGCCGUGCCAGGCUCUGGGCAGGGGGAGGCGCUAGCCAGGUCUGUGUCCGGGGGCCGUGCCAGGCUCUGGGCAGGGGGAGCUGCUAGUCAGG